UACGGAGGAUGCGAGCGUUAUCCGGAUUUACUGGGUGUAAAGGGAGCGUAGACGGUGAAGCAAGUCUGAAGUGAAAGGCGGGGGCUCAACCCCCGGACUGCUUUGGAAACUGUGCAGCUGGAGUGCAGGAGAGGUAAGCGGAAUUCCUAGUGUAGCGGUGAAAUGCGUAGAUAUUAGGAGGAACACCAGUGGCGAAGGCGGCUUACUGGACGACAACUGACGCUGAGGCUCGAAAGCGUGGGGAGCAAACAGG
rnacentral:rRNA from 1 species